rnacentral:lncRNA from 1 species
AUCAGACCUCACCCCUGCUGUUUCUCGCUUCACUUCCUGCUGGUGCAGGGAAACAGGCUUCCCUGAGUACGAGUACUACUGGGACGCAGGGCAGCUCCAGGCUCAGGGUGGCAGGGCCAGCGGCAGUGGACUGAAGCUGUGAGCCCCCUAACCCUUCUCCAGGAGCUGAAGCGUUAUCUGAUACUUGGGACAGCACCGGAAAGCUACGGACACAGGACCUCUCCGUGUGGCUACUGUUGCUGCGCUUCCGAGAUUCCCCGAGUGCUUAGAACUGCCCAGCGCUCUCCAGGUUUUCUGUAAAGGAAUACACUAAAAAUACCCAAAGAAAAAUCACCAGGAAAGAACACUCCUCCUUCAAGUCCUCUUCCUAGUUUUUUUUUUAAUGUGGAUCAGAAUUGUGGAUUCUCUGCCUAUUUUUUCAUAAUGCAAUAACCACUUAUUUAAUAUGAAUAAAAUAUGACUAAAAAUCAUGUGUUGAUCUUGGAAAAAGAUGAAUUUUCAACAUGCCUCUAAUAUAAUAAAUCAGUGUACUUUCUACUGUAAGAUCCAAGAUGGUCAUUUUCAAAACUACACCACAAAGACAGAAGUAAAUUAGCCCAUCAUUUGUCUUAAAAAUAUUUCACACACACACACCUGUAAUCCCAGCACUCGGAAGCCCGAGGCAGGAGGAUCACUGUGAGUUCCAGACCAGCCUGGGCUACAUAGUGAGUUCCAUGUCG